AUCUUUGCGCUUGGGGCAAUGACGCAGCUAGUGAGGUUCUAACCGAGGCGCGUCUAUUGCUGGUUGAAAACUAUUUCCAAACCCCCUCUUCGGCCUGGGUUCUGCCUAGGCCGUCGAGAAUUUUUGGAAGGGCAUCCCCUCGGGGAUAAGCCCUACAAUUCUAAGUUCAAUUUUUUUUGCC